rnacentral:rRNA from 1 species
GACGAACCGUGCAAACGUUGUUCGGAAUCACUGGGCUUAAAGGGCGCGUAGGCGGGCAGCCAAGUCUGUGGUGAAAUCUUUCGGCUCAACCGGAAAACUGCCGUGGAUACUGGCUGUCUCGAGGGAGGUAGGGGCAUGUGGAACUUCCGGUGGAGCGGUGAAAUGCGUUGAUAUCGGAAGGAACUCCGGUGGCGAAAGCGACGUGCUGGACCUCUUCUGACGCUGAGGCGCGAAAGCUAGGGGAGCAAACGGG